GACGAACGCUGGCGGCGUGCUUAACACAUGCAAGUCGAGCGGUAAGGCCCUUUCGGGGGUACACGAGCGGCGAACGGGUGAGUAACACGUGGGUGACCUGCCCUCAGCUCUGGGAUAAGCCUGGGAAACCGGGUCUAAUACUGGAUAUGACUCCAUGACGCAUGUUGUGGGGUGGAAAGCCUUGUGCGGCUGAGGAUGGGCCCGCGGCCUAUCAGCUUGUUGGUGGGGUGANGGCCUACCAAGGCGACGACGGGUAGCCGGCCUGAGAGGGCGACCGGCCACACUGGGACUGAGACACGGCCCAGACUCCUACGGGAGGCGGCAGUGGGGAAUCUUGCGCAAUGGGCGAAAGCCUGACGCAGCGACGCCGCGUGAGGGAUGACGGCCUGGUGU
rnacentral:rRNA from 1 species